rnacentral:rRNA from 1 species
AUUGAACGCUGGCGGCAUGCUUUACACAUGCAAGUCGAACGGUAACAGGCCUUCGGGUGCUGACGAGUGGCGAACGGGUGAGUAAUGCAUCGGAACGUGCCCAAUCGUGGGGGAUAACGUAGCGAAAGUUACGCUAAUACCGCAUAAGCCCUGAGGGGGAAAGUGGGGGACCGCAAGGCCUCACGCGAAUGGAGCGGCCGAUGUCAGAUUAGCUAGUUGGUGGGGUAAAGGCCCACCAAGGCGACGAUCUGUAGCGGGUCUGAGAGGAUGAUCCGCCACACUGGGACUGAGACACGGCCCAGACUCCUACGGGAGGCAGCAGUGGGGAAUUUUGGACAAUGGGCGGCAAGACCUCGAUCCAGCCAUGCCGCGUGCGGGAC